AGAAAUAGACAGUGGGAGAGAGAGAGAGAGAGACAGGACCAACACACUGGACAGCAAACGGGUGAGAGAGAGCAGGAGAGAGAGAGAUAGACAGUGGGAGAGAGAGAGAGAGAGAGAGACAGGACCAACACACUGGACAGCAAACGGGUGAGAGAGAGCAGGAGAGAGAGAGACAGGACCAACACACUGGACAGCAAACGGGUGAGAGAGAGCAGGAGAGAGAGAGACAGGACCAACACACUGGACAGCAAACAGGUGAGAGAGAGCAGGAGAGAGAGAGAUAGACAGUGGGAGAGGGAGAGAGAGAGAAACAGGGGGAAAGGGGAGAGAGGGAGAGAGAGAGAUGGAGAUAUACACUACCCGUCAACAGUUUUAGAACACCUACUCAUUCAAGGGUUUUUCUUUAUUUGGACUAUUUUCUACAUUGUAGAAUAAUAGUGAAGACAUCAACACUAUGAAAUAACACAUUUGGAAUCAUGUAGUAACCAAAAAAGUGUUAAACAAAUCCAAAUAUAUUUUAUAU
ensembl:lncRNA